AUUGAACGCUGGCGGCAGGCUUAACACAUGCAAGUCGAGCGGGGUGAUGGUGCUUGCACUAUCACUUAGCGGCGGACGGGUGAGUAAUGCUUAGGAAUCUGCCUAUUAGUGGGGGACAACAUCUCGAAAGGGAUGCUAAUACCGCAUACGUCCUACGGGAGAAAGCAGGGGAUCACUUGUGACCUUGCGCUAAUAGAUGAGCCUAAGGCGGAUUAGCUAGUUGGUGGGGUACAGGCAUACCAAGGCGACGAUCUGUAGCGGGUCUGAGAGGAGGACCCGCCACACUGGGACUGCGACACGGCCCAGACUCCUACGGGAGGCAGCAGUGGGGAAUAUUGGACAAUGGGGGGAACCCUGAUCUAGCCAUGCCGCGUGUGUGAAGAAGGCCUUAUGGUUGUAAAGCACUUGAAGCGAGGAGGAGGCUCUUUUGGUUAAUACCCAAGAUGAGUGGACGUUACUCGCAGAAUAAGCACCGGCUAACUCUGUGCCAGCCGCCGCGGUAA
rnacentral:rRNA from 1 species